rnacentral:rRNA from 1 species
GAUAUUGCACAAUGGAGGAAACUCUGAUGCAGCGACGCCGCGUGAGGGAAGAAGGUUUUCGGAUUGUAAACCUCUGUCUUCGGUGACGAAAAUGACGGUAGCCGAGGAGGAAGCCACGGCUAACUACGUGCCAGCAGCCGCGGUAAUACGUAGGUGGCAAGCGUUGUCCGGAAUUACUGGGUGUAAAGGGAGCGUAGGCGGGAGUGCAAGUCGGCUGUCUAAACUAUGGGCUCAACCCAUAAUCGCGGCCGAAACUGUACUUCUUGAGUGAAGUAGAGGUAAGCGGAAUUCCUAGUGUAGCGGUGAAAUGCGUAAAUAUUAGGAGGAACACCAGUGGCGAAGGCGGCUUACUGGGCUUUAACUGACGCUGAGGCUCGAAAGCGUGGGUAGCAAACA